GGGUCAGUAGGUUGGUCGUGCCACCGGUACGUACUGGUCUCACUGAUUCCUCCUUCCUGAAGAACCGUAAUGCCAUUAAUUUGGUGCUGCGGGGAAACAGGACUGUUACUUUGAAAAAAUUAGAGUGUUUAAAGCAAGCUAACGCUUGAAUACAUUAGCAUGGAAUAAUGAAAUAGGGCGAUCGAUCCUAUUUUGUUGGUUUCUAGGAUUGACGUA
rnacentral:rRNA from 1 species